rnacentral:rRNA from 1 species
CACGUAGGGGGCAAGCGUUGUCCGGAUUUAUUGGGCGUAAAGAGCCCGUAGGCGGUUCAGUAAGUCAGGUGUGAAACCUCCAGGCUCAACCUGGAGACGCCACCUGAUACUGCUGUGACUGGAGUCCGGUAGGGGAGCGUGGAAUUCCUGGUGUAGCGGUGAAAUGCGCAGAUAUCAGGAGGAACACCAGCGGCGAAGGCGGCGCUCUGGGCCGGUACUGACGCUGAGGAGCGAAAGCGUGGGUAGCAAACAGG